AGCCCAUGUGAUUUAUGCCCGUCUCCUCCUCUUCUGCCAACAAUCCAGUCAGAUCAGAACAGAAUAUGCAACAGGCUGCAAGAGCAUCUCCAAAGUAAAUGGGGUUGGGUUUUUUGUUUUGUUUUUUUCCUCUGGACUGACAUUUGUGCUAAUGAAAGAGAAAAGUCUGGCAGGAUCAGAGGCAACCUCGAUUUGUUAUUCCUGCCAAGAGCUGUUCAGACAACCGCAAUCUUAACGGGAGCUUUUUCUUCUUCUUCUUCCUCUUCUUUCCAUUAUGCUCUUCCAAGAUAACACUCCAGAGAGAAGACACAAUCCAGCCAUCCAGCUGUGAUAACUAGGUGAUGGGUCCAGUAAACGCUGCAAGAAGGUAGGAGUCGUUCCAAGGUUAAUUUGCUGAUGAAUGGCUCUGAAUUCCAGUCUGUUCCUCUCCGAAUUUCCGCUUAAUGGAAACGUGCCUGAAGUUUAAGCAACAUGCAGUUACCUAGGAGUAAGCCAGCACAUUACAAUCCUGUGCAUGUCUACUCAAAAGUAAGCCACUCCAAGUAUAGGACUGCAACCUCAGUUAUGUCUUCUGUGGUCCACCUAGCAAGCUGAGAUUAUGGAUGAAAGAUUAAUAGUAGCCACAUGCUAGCUAAUUCAAUACAGUAUGGCUGAGUACAGAUAAUUAUUCGGAGCAAUAUGAGCAGCUUUCCCCUUGAAGCUACUGUGGGAUUAGCUCUGUUCCAGCACUGGUGGCUUGAUAGAUGUACAGAUUUGAUGCCAGGGUGGGGGGAAGCGCUGUUGGGGGAAAGUUUUUUUCUCUCCUAACUCCUAAUUUUAGCUGGUUCCUCUGAACAUAGUGAACACUGAUGAGAGGAUGAUGAAAUUGGCCAGACAAAAAGAAAAUGGCUAGUGUUGUUUCUUCUGGCUUUAAACUGAAAGCUCCAAUUCACCACUACAUUCAGAGCAUAUAGAGGCAUCUCUCUAUCCCUAUGACCAUACCCUACAUGCUUUCCACAGGAAGAGGGAGAGGCAGUGAGCUUCUUAAUUCCAGAACAGGGGCUGCAAUGAGGGCAAUGCCACACUGAGUGUCCAGCAACAACCUAAAGAGGCAUGGGGCAAUGGCAGAAUCAAUAUCUCUUGGCACUGCUAGGCACUCUCCUACACACACUGCCCCCCCCUUUAUUCCCAUAACAAGUCCUUGAGUCUGUACUCUGAAUAGUGACACCAGGGACCUAGAAGGUGCAGGGCUUCUCAUUCCAACCCUGCACAAACUCAUCAGGGCUGACCUUAAGGCAAUUGGAGCAAUUGGGCCAAAUUGGGCCCUGCAGGCUGCUCCUAAGGGGCCCCCACACCAGGGCAAUCUAGAUGGAUUUUAUUUAUAUCUAUAAGAUUUUGUGGACUUUGACUGUGAACUGGGGCCCUACAAAAGAAAAAAGGUUGGGUCACAAUGCUUCAAAUUGGGCCCUACUGGCUAGCCCUGAGUCUCAUAGUUGCUGGGCCCAAGUUGCCCUGCCCUUGCAAUGAAGUUUUGGGUUUGCAAUUUUGGGAGAGGGGAGACUGUGGAACUGGGGAGCAGGCCGGCGAGGCCCCCUAGAUUUAGAGGCCCGAGUUGCCCUGUCCUCACAUGAAGUCUUGGGCUUGGGAGAGGGGAGAUCGCCUGCCGGGGAGCAGGAGGGCUGGCGAGGCCCCCUAGAUUUAGAGGCCCUAGGCUUCAGCCUACUUAGCCUAGACAUAAAUCCGGCACUGAUUAUUAGGUCUUGUGAUGGAAUUUUCUGUCUGCUGCCUUGCAAGAGCAAGGUGCCCUGAAAAGAGGUUUUUAAACCUCUUAAUCGAUACAUCUGCCCAAUACAGAGGCAACUAACAUGGUGCCUUCCAGAUUCUGCUAGACCCCAGCCUCCAUCAGCCCCCACUACCAUGAUCAAGGGUCAGGGAUUAUGGGAGCUGCAGUCCAACACCACAUUUGCUACCCAUGGUUUAAGAUGCUGGUGAAGGAAACAGAGUUACAAAUCAGUUUCAGCGUCUGCAUAUGUCUAACUACAGUGGUACCUCAGGUUACAGACGCUUCAGGUUACAGACUCCGCUAACCCAGAAACAGUACCUCAGGUUAAGAACUUUGCUUCAGGAUGAGAACAGAAAUCGCGCGGUGGCAGCACGGCGCCAGCGGGAGGCCCCAUUAGCUAAAGUGGUAUCUCAGGUUAAGAACAGUUUCAGGUUAAGAACGGACUUUCAGAACGAAUUAAGUUCUUAACCCAAGGUACCACUGUAUAAAGGGUGCAGAGAGAUGUUAAAUCAUCUGCUUCUGGAGCAGGAGGUUACAAUUUUUCUGUCACCCUAAAUGCCUCAUGCAAAGCAUCCGGGGAGGGUGGGGAGGAGAGGCAUUCAUUAACCCUCUGCAAGUUGCCACAAAUUGUGAGCAGAAACAGCCAGAGCCUGCUUAGCAUUUUUUCUGACUGCUAAUGACGAGAAAUCUGGAGAGGCCAAGAUUCAGACCUAGAAAUGCUGCCAAGGAAAACACUGUCCAGGGAUGAUGUCCUGACAAUGCAAAGUAGUCUACACCAUAAAACAAACAAUUGUAGAGAUUAACAGGAGAGGGUGCUCGGAGCUACCAGGAGCUCAAGCCAAGAGUUUGCUAAGGCAGCCUGAAUGCAGAUGCCGAGUAAACAAAAACUAUCUAAAGCAGGAUCCACAGAUCAGUGUAAAUCUUCUAAAGGCCAUCUCUUAGAACACAGUCAGUUCACACACAGGGCAUUUUCACACGUGACGCUGAAAGGCCAUUGAGCAUUUCUCACGCUAUUCCCGGGCAGGGGUUACACAUCACCAAAGUGCUAGUCCGCAGAGUGUUCCAAUUCACUGAUCGCCCAAUCGGAAGAGAGGAACUGCAGGCAUUUGGAGCCUUCUGAUCAGAAGCCUCUUAAGCACGGAGGCUCAAGUAGUCCAGUAACUGUGGGCGACCAAGCAGAUUCCACUGUCAGUUAUGCAACUCCCACAAUAGCACAAGCGAUACUACCCAGAGUACCCACAAGUCUCAAAUAUCCUUCCCCAGAAAGGACAAGGAAAUAUUCCAUAUCCUCCAAGAGUCCUGAUUUCCCACAGACAGUCCUGGAAUUACAAAAGCCAUCCCAGCUUCUGAUUUCAUCCUGGAAUGUCCCAAUUUCCCCUGCUAGUGAUUCUGCCAUCAAGCUUGAGGAGGAGGAGGAGCUGGCGCUUGUCCUGAGUGGUGGCGGCAGCGAGGGAGCAUCCUAUUGCUUUUCCAUGGCCUCUCCAUAGCCACUGCUGCCAGCCUCCCCCAAUGACUGCUGGAGAACAGGCAAGGAGGAAGUGAGACUCCCACCGCCAUGGUUCAACCCCAUUUGAAGCACCGGGGCAGGCAGAGGGCAGGGCUACCCUGGGCAGAAAGAAAGGCGGAGCAGAGCCGAGUGCAAGAAGACUUGAUUUAAAUGUAUAUAUAUGUCAUGUGUCUGUGUCUAAUCUUGCCCCUUUCUAAAAUUUAUAUAUUGGUGUGUGUUUUUCUUUUUGUAAAUCUACCAAAGAAUAAAAUAAAAUUGAGAUUACGGGGUUUUCUCAGGAUGGUGGAGGUUGUGUUUGCUGUGUGAAGUGGUGGUGACAUUUUCCCUUCGGGUAGGAAAUGUUCUGCAGCGGUGGCAACAAAAAUGGGGGGUGGGUGGAGGAUGAUUAGUUGUGAGGGAGUGAGAAAUGUCUUUUCAUCUGAGGAAAGUUGGAGGCUAUGAUAUUCUUCCUUAGUGCUGGUAUACGUAUUUAUAUGUGCCACACUGAUAGCCCAGCCCAUAAUGCAGAAAAGAACCCAGAGGGGCUAUCUUGUAUUUUUGUCGUAUAAGGCCAGGCCUGGUGGGAGAUAAAAACCAGGUUUGUUCCGCCAUCACCCUUCUUGUACCCGCAUUGGUGGGACAAGAGCACGUGCCUGCCAACUGCCAAGGUAUUUGGCAUGCAAUCUCUUGUGUCACCUCCAAUUGCAUGUGACAACUGAGUGACUGGCGGGUGUUGCACUGUUUACUUUCCUGGGGCCCUUGAAUCAAUGACUGUUUUCUACAUCCAGAUGCUUAAAGUAAACAGUCACAUAAUUUGUAGAUCCUAAAGUGUCAAAAAGGAGCUGAAGUUUUUUAAAAGGACAUUCUUUAAAAUAAAAAAAUAAAAAAACCAAACAAUUAAAACUUUCCCUUCUUGGAGGUAAGGCAGAUGGUUAAAAUUAUCUCUGCAACUUCCAAGCUGUAAACAUUUCACUAGAAAAUGGAAAUGUGGUUUCUGUGGGUGAGGGCAGGGUGGGAGAUGGGCCUGAUAGCAAAGCGCAGAUCCUAGUUAAGAGAGAGCUGGGAAUGUCAAACAUGCUUGACCUCCCAAUCAGCAAAUAAGCACAUUAUAAACAACAUGUUUCAUCGGAGCUAUGCUCAAGGGAAUGGGAACCCUUGUGUUUGUUUAACGUAUGGGUUAGGCUGUGAAUUGUUUUGUGGCCAAGCACAAUUAAAGCAAUUGGUGAGAUUUACUAAUAUUGCAUCGUAGCAUGCUUCACUGACGCAGCAUUUCACAGAUGGCACCUUCCCUUUCCGGAUGCAGCCACACCCACAAAGCAAUGUUUGCUACAGUUGUAAACACACAUUGUGAGAAACAGAAUUCUCGUCAAGGGCUCCCCCAUCAGCUCAAGGGACUCAAUAAACAAACCCAAGCCAAGAGCUAUGGUGGACACCAGAUCCAACCAGCCAUGAAGCAAACCAAGGCAGCUGUCAAAGGCAGGAGGUGAUGGUUUGUCAUUAGGGAACAACAAACAGCCAGUUAUUUAAUUCUUAUAUUUGUUAUCAUGCAGGGGCAUUGCUUGCAUGUUCUGCUUCAGAUGCCCAACCAUCCAAAGCUAGCCUUCAUUGCCAUCUUCCUGCCUAAGAAUCAGUGGCGGAGCAUAUGCCCGCGCUGCCCAGGGUGGGGGUGCUCCCGAGGGGCACGGAGGGUGCCCUCCCAGGAGCAGGAUAGCCGCACGCGCACCCACUGAUCUUCUCGCUCGCCUGCCUCCUUUCCAUCCUCUCCCCUGCCUGCCUGCCUCCUCCAGCUGGGUGCACGGGGCAAUGGCGCACUGCCCACCUGUGACUCUCGCACCUACCACCAGCCACCAGGGGAAGGGGGGAGCUGCUGCGCCAUGGUCCCGGCUGGAGGAGGCAGGGAGGCUGGGAAGAGGAUGGGAAGGAGGCAGGCGAACAGGAAGAGGGGAGGAAGGAACCGUCAAAGCAGCGCAGCAGCUCCCCCCCUUCCCCCAACGGCUCAAGGUAGGUGUGGGAGUCUGAGUCUUGGGCAGGCUGUGCGCCGAAUGUCACCCCCGCUCAGGGAUGACACCCAGAGCGAUGCCCCCCCCCGCACCCACCUUCCUCCACCAGUGCUAAGAAUUAGAAGCAUGGGGAAAUGCUUUCAACAUCCAUCAUGCUUUGCUUCUGAAUCUCUACAUAUUGCUUAAGGGGUAUUGGCACCUGACGGGUAGCUGUUGGGAAAAUCUCUGGGUAAUUUGCAGUAGAUCAGGAAGUGUUUCUGAUUCCCAAUUGUACAACAAUAGCAUCAAACUCCUCCCGCAAAUGAAUUAGGUUGAGGGAGGCGAAUGCUGGAGGGGGAGGGGAAACCAGGGGUGGGGGUUUGUAUUAAAGAAUGUGUUAGCAUGGUACUGAUAAAAAGAUUCCUGGGCUUAGCAUACGCUCAAAAGCACCCUAUUCCCUAAUUCCUAGCACAUGUACGCCACUAUUUGUACUUUGCUACAGUUGGUAGACCUCAGGAUUCUAGGGUGGAGGAACUAGGUAGAUCCCGCAAGCCUUAAGUCUCCCUGCCCCUUCUGUAACCAAUCCCUGACAAAUUUAUGUUUGUGAUACACAUAGCUGCAAACACAUAUUCAUCACAUGGCAUUAAGGUGUCCACUUCAAUCUUCCUAGGGACACACCUAAAAAUAAUGUGUAUAGUGCUUGCUUCAGCUGUGGCAGAACAUUAUUCUGCCAGUGAAUUUCAGCUCCAUCCAGCAUAGUCAUGAUCACUUUUUUCAUUGCAUGAGUACAAGAGGAAAAGGAACAGAUUAAAUUACCAUUUUAGUAACCGUGCAGCAACAGCAGAGAGGAGGCAGAAUCCAGGGAAAUGGAAAGCAGAUGUGCUGAAAGCGGUGUCUCCUUGAUAUUGCAGAGCACAGAAAAUGAACAGGGG